ensembl:lncRNA
UGAUUGGUCAAGAAGGUGUUGAUUAAUUUUCUAUAACAGCACGGCUCAGGCACCAGUGCCGGUUGUAAUUCAAAUAAUAGUUUAAUACCAGUGUGCUCAAUCUGAUAUGUUAUCAUUUCUUAAGUAACAGCCAAAUCAUAGCGACUUCUAUAGCGGACAUUCUACAAAAUCUAAGCCUAGUAAUAAAUGAAAUAAAAACAUGACCGUUAAAUAAAAGUGGAUCAUUUUUUAUAUGGUGAAGCUUGGUCAUGUUCAUUGGUUGUACUUGUGUCAUGUACACCGACUAGCCAUAACAUUAAAAACCAUCUGCCGAAUAUUGUGUAGGUCCCCCUUGUGCCGCCAAAACAGCUCUGACCAGAUCAUUUAAGCCCUGUAAGUUGCGAUGUGGGGACGCCAUGGAUCAGACUUGUUAGCCCAGCACAUCCCACAGAUUGAGAUCUGGGGAAUUUGGGGGUCAGUCAACACCUUGAACUCUUUGUCAUGUUCCUUAAACCAUUCCUGAACAAUUUUUGCAGUGUGGCAGGGCUUAUUAUCCUACUGAAAGAAGCCACUGCCAUUAGGGAACACUGUUGCCAUGAAGGCGUGUGCAGUACUCGGUCUGCAACAAUGUUUAAGUAGGUGGUACGUGUCAAAAUAACAUCCACAUGAAUGCCAGGACCGAACGUUUCCCAGCAGAACAUUGCGCCAGAUUAUCACACUGCCUCUGCCGGCUUGCCUUCUUCCCAUAAAACAUCCUGGCACGAUCUCUUCCUCGAGUAAGCAACACACAUGCACCCGACCAGCCACAUGAUGUACAAGAAAAUAUGAGUCAUCAGACCAGGCUAUUUUCUUCCAUUGCUCCAUGGUCUAGUUCUGAUGCUCACGUCCCCAUUUUAGGUGCUUUCUGCAGUUGACAGGGGUCAGCAUGGGCACUCUGACUGGUUUGUAACUACGCAGCCCCACACAUAACAAUCUGCAAUGCACUGUGUGUUCUGUCACCUUCCUAUCAUAUCCAGCACUAACUUUUUCAGCAAUUUGUGCUACAGUAUCCCUUCUGUUUGACAGGACCAGAUGGGCUAACUUUCACACACCAUGCACAUCAAUAAGCCUUGGGUGCCCUUGACCAAGUCGUCUAGCAGAGAGGUUCUCAAACUUUUUCAGUGUGAGGCCCCCCUUAUGUAGGGUGCAUCUCCUUGUGGCCCACAAGAGUUGUCAGAGUUUUGCAAUUUUUUUUUUUUUUUUCCACGCUAGGCUCUUCUGUAUUAACUUUGUCAGCUAAGAGACUACGUCCUCUAUCUAAAAACAUCAUGUUAAAUAGUCUUAGGUUUUAUCAGUGUGUGGCUAACAGUAUUGUGCACUAGUAUAUCAGUGCUGGGUAUAAUUGAUUUAACUUAUUAAUAUUUCUCAUUUAUAUGUACAUCGUUGUUCAACGGUUCACAAUCCCGAUUUACAU